rnacentral:tRNA from 1 species
GAAGGUAUAGCUCAGAGGCAGAGCACAUGCUCAGCAUGCAUGAGGUCAUGGGUUCAAUCCCCAGUACCUCUG